rnacentral:lncRNA from 1 species
ACUGCUAACAAUAUACAAUAGUAAAAAUCACUCUUAUGAACUCACAAAUACUAGGCACCAAUAAGAGUAUGAUACAGCCAUUCUAAAUGAAAGAGAAUACAACUGUUUUACAACUAUGUCACAUCAAGAGAUAUGUUAGCAGGAUUAAUCCAGAUACCUAGGGAUGGCAACUGGAUCGCUCUAUAAUGGAUAUCCACAAUAUCCAUCCAAUUGGAUCGGAUAAUAUCCAUCCAAAAAUUUUUAGAUUUUGAAAUGGAUAUUUUAAAAUUAUAUCCAAAUGGAUAUGGAUGGAUAUAGAUAAUUAUUUUUACCCAAUGGAUAUCUAUUUAACCCAACACAAGUUUAAAAAAUUUUAAUUUUAUAAAAUAAAAAAUAAAAAAUAUAAUAAACAAACAAUUGUAAAAAUAUUAUAUUAACUAGUGAAAAUUUUAAAUUCAUCUUAUAUUAAAAACUAAAGUUUUCAAAAUUAUCCUUUAAUUUUUUAACUUAUUUAAUAUUAUUAAAAAUUAUUAUUUUAUUUUAUUAAUUUAAUAUUAUAAAUGGACAUCCACCGGAAAGUCACCGGACCUCCUCCGGAAUUCACCGGAAAGUUGCCGGACCACCGUCGACUUCGCCGGAAUUCGCUGGAAAGUUGCCGGACCACCGCCACCAACCACCAGACCGCCAUUUUAUAUAUAUAUAUAUAUAUAUAUAUAUAUAUAUAUAUAUAUAUAUAUAUAUAUAUUAUUACUAAUAUAAAUAGUUUAAUAACCAAAUUUAAUAUUGGAAUUUUAAUUAUUUUAUAUUAUUAUUUUUAUAUAAUAAAAAUAAAAUAUCCAUAGAUAUUCAUGGGUCUCCAUAGUUAUAUGGAUAAAAUCUAUAUCCAUGUCCAAUAUUAAAUACUGGAUAUGGAUAUAGAUAUAUCCAUUAUCGAUAAUUAUGGAUUUGUGUUUGGAUGGAUAAUAUCCAUCCAUAAUUGAAUAUUUGCCAUCCCUACAUAUACCUUUGAACCCAAUUAACCAACUCGAGUCAGAAACCAGGGGCCCCCAACUGAACCUUACAAUCUUGAAGGAAGAAGGAGACUUGUGGUCCAGAUAGGAGACUUACUAGAUCUCCUGCAAAAGAGAAUAUCUAUUGCUUUGAACCUCCAUUGAAAUUUCUUUUUCUCUUUUUCUUGUUUUAACUUGGAACUUUCCAGCAUCAUCUAUUUGAUCUUUUUUGAAGGUAAAAUAGCAAUCUAUAGGUUGCCAACAUGUUAUUCUGCCAAACCCCACCCCCCGGGGGACAACAAAUAGUGCCUACUCAACUUAUGUUUUCCAAUGGACGACAAUAUGCAAAUCGACCCAGUAGCCACAUUUUUCCUCCCUUUCAACCACCGUUAGGCAACUUUUCUAACCUUCCUUCAUUGCCCACACGUACAGAACUAUAAUAAAAAGACUACAUUAUUAUUGGGGUAGAGAAAAUAUGCAGACUAUAUUAUUAUUACAUCACAUUUUACUAAUUAACUAGUGCACGACUUAUUUAGUGUCAAAUCAAGAACUAAUUAGAAAAGACAACUCUUGAUAAUACAGACCUUAACAAGCAAUAGCUAACAACAUCCCAUAUACUCUUAUUUUAGCCUUCACUAUCCUGGUAAAAACACAAAUAAGUCUUGCAAACGAACAUUUAUAAGUAAAUUCAACAUUAAUUAAGAUUAGGUAUCUACUGCACCUUCAAUCAAUGACUGGGUGAAUAGCAUGGUCAACCAUCUAGUUCCUGUAGCCUUCCAUGUACCUAUGUUAGUUACAUUUUAUAUAUUAAGCCAUGAAAAUGAAGAACUCUUCCAUUUCAAACAGUGUUAGAAGAUAUUUGCAAAGCCUAAAGAUAACAUACGAGGACCAAGAUAUACACAGAUAGUUUCUUUACGGGACUAAAGAGCUUUUUUAGAUGUUAAAACUGUUUCAAACUCUUUUUCUUGUUUGGUUUAACUAAGGAAGAGCUUGUGGAAGAUUAAAAAUGAUGUUUCCUGUUCUCUGUAGGAAGCUUUUAGGAGAUUUUUUGGGUUUUUUUGAAAGGUUGAAUUGUCAAAAAUACCUUGAUGUUAUUGUUUGCUAAAAGAUGUUAUGGACAACUAAACAACCAACAACAUUUUGUUAAAAGCUCUACUAGUGUAGGAUCUACUUAAAGAAGCUAUACCAAACAGAUUCUUAGACUAAAUAACUCGAUCUUAAGUUUGUAAAAUUGGGCUCAGAAUCUCCACUAACAACCCCGCUUCGGUGAGAAAGCCCAAGCCUGUUACUUUGUAUAACCUUAUUCUGUAUGUUUGAUUGCAGGAACUGGCCGAUCAUACCGACGAGGUGAGUGUGCAACAUGAGGUGCUUGACGGGAUGUUUACUUUCUAUGAUACAACUAAAGCUAGCCUCAACAUAUAUCAGGUGCCUGCUUGUUUUUACCUUCUAGAUACUAAUAUUGUUUAGACGUGUAAUCUCUCUCUCCAUUGAACGCUAGACGGCUCGUCUCAAGCCUUCUACGUACAUCAGAGUCCUUCUUUAGCUUUUUAUGUAUAAAGUUUUGAUCUUUUUCCUUCAUUUGCUUGAAGCUCAUUACUGCAGAUUUUUUUUACAGGUUGCUAGUGUAACAUUCGACUUGCUGUUGCUUCUAGUGUUGGGAUCGUAUUUAAUUGUGCUUUUCAGCUUUCUUGUCACAACAACUUGGGUAUUACUCUUUCUCCAUAUCAAGCUUGAAGUUCUAAAUUUCAGUUUUAUCUUUUAUUUGAUGUUUUAUAAUUUCAUUGCAAACAGAUUAGAAUAGAAACUUCAAAAGUUCCAACUGACUAGUCCCGUGUAACUUUUUCAGGGAAUAUUUUCUCUCAUAACAACUACGAAUGUGUUAUGGUUUAGCUCAGUGACACAAAGGAUAGAAAAUCUAAGAUGCGAAAAAUUUUUGUUGAGAUUCAUUUUUCAUCCUGAUGUUACAGCUGGCCUUUUUUUUUUUUUUUGGCAGAGAAUAAUGCUUGUGUGAUUUCUGAACUUGGUGAUUGUUGAAAUGAGCUGAAAAUGAGCUGGAAAUGUGUUUGGUUAAUGAGAAAGAGAGCAAGAAAAUGAAAGAAAUCUAUUUCACUUUUUAUUUAUCAGCAUGAUUACAUUCACAAUAAAUCUAAGCUGCUAUUUAUACUUAAAUGAAUACACACGAGAAUCUUCUUGCUAGAUACUUCUAGAAACUCUACACGCACACUCACAUUGAGCUAGUGGUUACUAAAACCGUUACAACGAUAUUGCCAGCUCAGCAUAACCAACUUAUAACUAACACACUCAGCUGCAGGGGAAACCAUCAAGCUUACUGUGCAUCCUCUGUACUCAAGCUUCUUUAAGCAUGCUCUGCAGAUCAUACUCAAGCUUUUUUUUUCAUAGAAGUUGCAAUCUUUACGUUAUAUACUAGUUUGACUAGGCUAUAUAAGGAAGCUAUAUGAAAUUAGAAAAAUAAGCUAUACUAGGAAAGAAUAAAUAUAUGUACAGAAAAUUAGGCUAUAAUCUCUGACUUUAAACAAAUUUAAUAUCAAUUUUCUUCUGGAAGUUGUCUCGCAUGGGGCGCAUCAGUAUUGUAACGUCUGAUGGGUCUUACAUUAUCCACAAAAAUAACUCGUCCAUCUAGUACCUGCAAGUACAUACUCUGAGAUGCUUAAACUCAACAAUAUAAGCAUGGAAAAUUAGAGAAAAAUGAUGCAAUUUUACCUUCCCAUUCAUGUCUGCCGAGGCUUUUUGGGCUUCCUCUUCUGUACUGAAAGUCACAUAUCCGUAACCUUUUGAUCUAUUCUUACCUUUAUCCAUUAUUAUUGUAGCUGCAAACAGAAAAGAAUCGGAUAUUACAAAAUAGUGAAGAGGGAAGAGGGGUUGAGACUUAAAACAGAAAUAGACCAAACCCUCAGUGACGUGGCCAAAUUGUGAAAAAGCAUCAGCUAACAUUUCUUUAGUGGUUGAGAAAGAUACGCCUGCAAAGGAUGCCAGUUAAUUUUAUCAUAAUUUUAGAUGGUAAGAUUGCAAAUUCUGCAGCCAAAGGUAGUACGGAACUGAAUGAAGGAAAUCAAAUAUGAAUAUGUUUUCAAUCUCAGAAUAUUAAGAGUAGCAUAAGUAACUUGUGAAACAGUUACAAGUUCAACGGAAUUAACUGAUGGCAUGGUUGAAUUUUGUAAAUAUUUGAUAUUUUGAACCGAACACGGCAAACAGAUGGAUCCAGAUAAUCAAGAAAAACAUCAAUUCCAUGCAACCAAAUUAGUGUGGGCAAUGCAAUUGAGCAACACUAUAAAAUUAUUCAAAGAAAUCUCUAGGUCAGUAUCCAAAUAUAUUUCUGAAAAUGUUUUUUUCUCAUUAGCGCCGCCAUUUUUGUAAUAGAGGGUAAAGAAAUAAGUAACAAAGUAAGAGGUGAGCAGAAGCGGCCCAAUUUAGCUAUAUGCCAUGCAUGCGAUCAAAAUUGAACGGUUAAAUGGCAGCCACUAUGUUACAUCUUGUGUAAGUAACAAACCGCCUACAUGGAUCGUUGGAUUUGGGAAUAUGAAAUCCAAUGGAUAAUAUUGAAUUUAACGAAAAAUAGAUUACAGGUUGCAUUAGUCCAAGUUUAUUUCAAACAAACCAGCUGACGAAAUAGCCGCUAAUCAAAUUUAAAAGGGAAAAAAAAAUCAAAUUAUAGGUUAUAGAUCUUAUUUCCAUCUUAAAUCUAUGUCUUUCGUGGUGACUCAAUUUGUAAACUAAUUUAUAAUUUGGAUCUAUAUUAGAGCUAAUGCUUCCCUAAAUAACUAAGAAAAUUUUCUUUUCAUUGAUUAAAUAUUUAUUUCCAAUAUCUUGUAUAUGUAGGAUUUGAAAAGAGGGAAAAUAGUAGGGAUGAUAAUGAGAGAAGAUAGAGAUGUCGAUUCUCAAAUCUAAUAUUAGUGCUAUACUUAUAUUCCUAUACUAAAUAAAUUAUCCAAGGUUCGUGCUUAACGAUACGUUGCAAAAUUUUAAUUUCUAUUUAAAGCUCUGUCUAAUAUGGCUUUUCAUAAAGCUUAGAGAAAAGUAGAGCUUUUACCAAAAAAAAAUUAAUUAGAAUUGUCAAUGAUAAAUUUUAAAAAGUACUUUAAUAAAUAAGCUUUUAAAGUUAUAUAUAUUAUGAAAGAAAUGAAAUAAGAUUAUAUAAUAAAUUAAGAGUAUCUUAGAUAAUUGAACUUUAAAAAAAAAACUCGCUAAGAGGUUUAAAAUUUGAGUUUUAAUAGUGGAUACAAAAUAGUUUAUUUAAUUCUCAAAAGCUCUACUCAAAAUAGUUUAUUUAAUUCUCAAAAAAUAUUUUUUUCAUUGAGUAAAUAAUACUAAACAUGCACUAAAGUGUUAGGACCAGAAGUUGUACAAAAAAUGAUGGCUACAACUUAAAUUAUGAAUGGAGUAAUCGGAGAAUAUUGAAACCCGUUUAAUUUGGAUCGUGCAUUGAGGGACGAAAGGAUAAAAAAUUUAAUUUUGAAAUUGCUGUUGGGUACGGUACAAUGACUUACCGUUGACAGCUUUUGCAACCGGAUUACAAUCGGUUAGUUCAAUAAUUUUAUAUCCCCAUUUAACCGCCACGUGCUGCUGUUACAUGGGUCAAUUAGUCAUGUCAUUACUGUUACUUACAGAUGCCGUAACAUAACCGGACCCUGGUUAAAUUCUGUUGUUUCCAAUAAUUUUAUGCUGUAUCUUCUUUAAUAAUAAAGAAAACUUGCAUUAAAAUUAAAAUUAGGGUAAUACCUGAUUUUAUAAAUAGAUUGCAAUGUAAUUUUGAAAAAUAAAACAAUAAUUUACAAAAUGUUUAUAACAUAAUUUUAAUUUUUUUUCAAAAAGGAAAAAGAACAAAAGUAAGAAAUAGAGAAUUAGGGCUACAAACUUUGUAUCUUAAACGGCCGUUAGAUUAUUUGUAAAUGAAAGCAACGGUCAGAUAUUGGUGGAUUAUGGAAACAUGUAAUCAUAAGGACUGUGAGUUUUUUUUGUUACAUUAAUAUAUUACAAUCAAAUUCUAUUAGUAUUUACAACUAGAAUUUCAUUUGACUAUCUUUGAUAAUUCUAAACUAGUACAACCCAAAUUCUUAUUCUCACAUAAUAUCAAAGAGAGAUAUAUAUUCUUCUCCUCUAUUAAUAAAGAGACAUUUUUAUUUCCUUUUAAUAGUUAGGACUCAGAACUCAUACACGCUAGUUUGAGAGUGUUGGGUGUGACAAUGAGCCAGGAGACCAUUGACAAGUACAAAAGAGUGGUAGAAAUUAAUUCAAUCCGCUACACACGCUAUUGCAACCAAAUUGAGGGCCCAUUUUUGUUUAUUUGGUUGAAAAAUAGUUUGCAUAAUUAAUUCAAACCGCUACACACGCUAUUGCAACCAAAUUGAGGGCCCAUUUUUGUUUAUUUCGUUGAAAAGCAGUUUGCACAAUUAAUUCAAACCGCUACACACGCUAUUGCAUCUUUUGAAAAAGAAAAACAGAAUAGUUUUCUAAAAUUAAUUCCGAGAAGAAGAUUAACUAAUAAUGAUGUUAGAAAUUUUAAUAUUUGAGUCUUAAUAUUAUGUAUCACUCAUUUAUUAAAUAAUAGAUUUCAUAAUUUAUAAAAUUACUUAACCACUUGAUAAAUGUUAUAUUUGUUGGGACUAAAUUGGGACUUAAAUGUUGGAAUAUCUAGUAUUGCAUUAAAAAAUAAAUAAAAACAUAACAAUUUAUCUUCACUUGACUAAUUGUUUUUACAUCACAACUAACCUUAAUUAUUUUGAAAGUUACAGUAUUAUUAAAUUGUCCUAACUGGUUAUCAAAAGUUGAAGCAUGUUAAAAUAAAAAAAAUUACCAAGAAACAUGUGCUUAAACAGAGGUUAAGGCUAUGAACAAUUAAGAAGAAACUCUUAAUUUGGUCCCAGUUAGUAUAAUAAUCAUCUAUUGAGCGGUAAAAUAUUAAUUUUAAUAGUGAUGAAAUCCAAUAUAUAAUAGAUUAAUAACACACAUAAAUUAAAACUUAACUGUCAGAAAUCAUAACAUUACUCUACUCUUCAGUAGAGUUCUCUUAACAGAUUAUGUGAGAUUGCCUACAUUAAAAAUAGGUUAAGACUGCUUGUUGAAAGCAAUAUUCGCUUUUUCAUUAUAUCCAUAACUUUGUUGGGUCCCUCUAUGGUGCCGUAAUUUUUUUUACGGUAUUAAUAGUGUAACAAAUUUGUACCAUUAGAUAUAAUCAACGGUACACAUUAUUUUUAAUAAUGAAAAUAUUUAAUUAUUUCACAAAUGUUAUAACCGGUUAACAAACCGGUUGCAAAACCUAUUUUAAAUUUAAAAGGAAAGAAAAUAGAGAUAUAAUAAAACUCAAUCUCCUUCUUUAUCUCAUAAAAUUCGUAAUCUGUUUAUCUCCUUUGUUGUUGUAUUGAAAUUGGAUUCCUCAAUGCUGUCUCAGUUCACAAAUGAUUAAUCGUGUCAAAUCGUAAGCUUGUUCUUAUCGUUCAACUUUUUCUCCAUUUAUUGCCACAUUUAUUUGAUAGGUAGGCUUUUAAAUUUAUUGCUCGAUGGUGACAUUAGACAAGGAAUCACAGAUUUGAUGUUCUUUGUUGUACUAAAUUCAUAUCAAAUCUUGCUUUGAUGCUAUAAUAUAUUUAGUUACUACCUUACAUUUUCUUUUUUCACAUUUGAAAACAAAUUCUUUUUAUUCAUAGGAUUACAUAAAGUGCGCAGCCCUGAAGUUUGAACUUCAAAGGAUAAAGUUGCAUUGCAGCAUGUUAAGCAGCAAAGCUUCUUCACUGCAUUAGAUAGAAGACGGUGAAUCAAGUGCAGCCAAGACUUGGCUGAGUCAGCAAUUAACCACCAAUCGUUUAAGAAAGAGGGGCAAAGCAAGUUGAGGCCCACUUAUUAAUCUUAGCCUCUGAUUCCAUUCUCCUUUUCUCCGUCCUGAUUUGAUUAUCUCCAGCAGUGACGCUAAAGGUUAAACUGGCAUGAUCUUGCCCACAUAUAAAUGUAUUUUUUUUUUUUAGGAUCUGAAGGGGCAAAUUUUUUUUUCAAGUUUGUUAUAUGAUCUUUUGUGAAGACCUGAAGAUACGAGAGUCAGAUUAAUAAUUUUGUCUCUCUUAGGCUUUAUGCAGUGGGAAUGAACUUUCUCUCUUUUAAUUCUCUGCCAUUUUCUCAAUGAAGGCAGCAAGAGAAUAUUCAGUCUUUCAAAGUCUCAACAUUCAUAAUUUGGCCAGUCUAGUUGUUUACCUUGCAUCUGCUGGAGUAUUAUAUCGCCAAGAGAUUUUUCCGUUGCACUUUACGAAUUUAUAUUAUUUUGAGGAGGGAAUUCAGCUAACUAUUAAUAUCAUACAAUUGAAAUUUAAAUGUCGGUCUUUAAAUUCUAAAGAUUAAAGACAAGCCUAAUAUGAAAAUACAGAUGUUAAAAUCUUCAUUUUUGUUUAUUGAUACUUUAUUUGUUAGUAUCAUAAUUUUAGAGAUAUAUUUGAUGUUACAUGAUUGACUAAAUAUUAACAUUAAAAUGCAGAUGGAAAGAAAAAAUGAUGGAGGGCUCCAUAAAAGCAUAAAAAGAAACGGAGAUGGUGAAGCAAACUUUCGAAAUUGCAACCAUGAGAAGGAAUUGACAAAGCUUAAUGAAAAAAUGGAUGGGAUGACAUUUAAUCUUGUCGCUGUCAGGCAUGAACUUGGUGAGCUGAAGAGGAACAAUUUAGAUACUUAUGCAUUGGUACAAAAAAUGUAUAGUGUAGUUGAAGCACUUGAACGUAAUAUAACUCAUAUGCAAUCACACGCAUGGAAGGAAAAGAUGAACUCUUCUAGUAAAGAUGUUCAAAAUAGUAAAAAUGAAUCAAGUGGUCAAAAUUUCGUGGAAAAGGGAGAUGAGUUUGGGGUGAAGAUCGCAGAGAUUAAGGACAAGAUUGAAGACGCAUGUGAUGAAAAUUUAUCAUUGAAAAACUUAUUUGUGUAUAGGAAACAAAAAGAGAACCAAAUCUUCCACAAUGUUGUUAAAAAGGUAUGAUAAUAAACUAUUAUUCUACAUUUUUUUUUCAAAAAUAUUUGUAUAGCACAUUCAUUAAACAAAAAAAUAAUAAUAAUAAAAUUCAUGUUCUUAUGCAUGUAGGAUAAAGCCAUGGAUGCAGUUGAUUUUGUGGAUUUGGUAUCAUCGGUGGAAGUAGAUGCAAUUGAGGAUAAAAAGGUGCGUCCUCGAAAGCCCAGUCGUUAUAAAAAAUCUCCUUAUGAAAAUUUUACAAAAAAAAAAGGCUAUCGCAAGAAGGAGUUCGAUUUAUCCAAACAUGGAGCUUCUUUUUCGGAGGAAGAAUGGUAUAUUUUACAGUAUAUUUUUCAUGAACAACUAGAUAAAAGGUAUGGAACUAUUUAAAUAUAAUCAUAUUUUAUAUGUUUGUAUUUUGAUGUUAUUAUUUGUUUUAAUUAACUAUUAAUGUGAGUGUAUAACUUAUGCAGAGAGAAAAUUGUAAUGACAAAACGACAUAUUGUUACCCGCUUCUUAAUGUCUUCUUUAGCUCCUAAUGUUUGGAUAUUUGAUGAGGUAUAUUGUGUUAGUGUGUGUGUCUAAUAUUCAGAGCGUAAUAAGAUUAUAUGUAUUUAAUUUAUAAUUUAUUUUUCAUUUGGUAGUGCAUGUUUUAAUAAUAAUGUUGUGAUGAUUUUAUUCAUAGAUCAUAAGUUGCUAUGCUGAGUAUUUAACUAGAAAGGAGAGUUUGAAGCAAGAUAAUGAGACUCGAAAUUGGUUUUUACCAACUCUUUUUGGGGUAUGUUAUAAAUUUUUGUUGUUACAAAUAUAUAAUAUGCUUUUACAAAAAAAUUAGAAUUUUUUUAAAAUUAUAUCUUACCAUCUUCAUAUAAUUAUUAAUUUAUGAAUGUUGUAGCAAAUAGUGGCGAAUGUGUCAGGUGUUUCAACUAUUGAUAGAUCAGAGAUUGAAAUUUCGGUUCGUAAACAUAACAUUUGUGAAUUUUACAUGGGUGCACUCAAAAGAUGUGAAAAGGUCAGGAAUAUUAUCAUAUGUUCAAAAAACAAAAAAAUUUAUUUACUCAAAUAUCAUAUGUUUUAUUAUUAUCAUUUGAAGGGAGUAAUGAUUAAUACAAAAUUAGUGUAUUGUUGCACAGAUAUAUGUUCCUCUUUAUGACGGGCUUGCAAAACAUUGGUAUCUUGUAAUAAUGAAUAUAAAAGAUAAGACUGCUGAGAUUUGGGAUUCUUUGCCUAAUUCUGAAAUAGAACCAAAUCAUCGUCAAGAAAUCGUUAAGCAAAAUGUAAGUUCAAAUUUUUUAUUUGUUUAUAUGAAAUUACUAGAUGCAAUAUAUAUUAACUAUCAUUAUUAUUAUGCAGUACAUGCAUUGGNNNNNNNNNNNNNNNNNNNNNNNNNNNNNNNNNNNNNNNNNNNNNNNNNNNNNNNNNNNNNNNNNNNNNNNNNNNNNNNNNNNNNNNNNNNNNNNNNNNNCCUAGUCUUGCUUCGUGAUAUAGCCUUUAACUUUCCUUCUGAUUGGGUAUUUCGUUGACUUUGACAUUUUAUAUCCAAAUAAUGUGCCAAUUCAACCAAAUGGAAAUGAUUGUGGCUUGUAUGUGAUGAAGUUUAUGGAGACUCCAUGUGAGAUGUUAUUCCCAACUUAUAAGGUAACUUAAUCAUACAAUUUAUAUUUCUUAGUUUGCACAAUACUUUAAUCAAUAUUAAAUUGUUAUUAAUUCUAUUAUAUGCAGUAUGAAUCGGAUGAAGAAAGAUUUCGUCUUGCGCUACUCCUUGUAAAUGGUGAUGCAAAUGAAGUAAGAGAUAGUGUUAUACAAAAAGCACUAUCAUUCCGUGGUCCUAAGACGAAUGUUAUUGCAACUAGUAAAGUUAGAACUAAAGUUGCUUCUCAAAAAAAACAUCGUUCAAUUAAUAAAGUUAGAACUGUAAUUGGUACUGGAGAAUAUUUGAAGAAACCAGGAAGAAAAUCCAAUUGAUCUGCCUAGUAGAGGUUUAAUAAAUUUGGUAUUGGACGUAAUUUGUAUUUUGUCACUUUUAAUUUUUUUGUCCCCUCAAUUGAAUUUUAUAUUCAAUGUAAAGUUUUUAUUUGGAUUACUUAAUUUUCUUUUUUAGUUUUUAAGUUUUUGGAUUACUCUUUAUGAAAAUUUUGUGUCUUGUUACUUUCAAUUUUUUUUGUCCCCUUUAAUUGACCUUUGUAUUCGAUGUAAAGUUUUUAUUUGGAUUACUCAUUAAGUUUUGUUAGCUUUUGAGUUUAUGGUCUCUUCCAAUUAAAAACUUUCAAAAAAUAAUAGCCUGCUUUUUUUUUUUUUGUGUGUGUUUUAAGUUCAGCCUACAAGUGAAUGACUGUAAGUCGUUAACUAAAAAUCUAAAAAUGUCAAAUGUCAAAUAUUCUUCCGCUUCUCAUCACCUUCUUUUCCAACCUAUAAUAUGCCAAACAAAAAUGCAUCAAUAAAAAUAAAUUUAGAUAACAGCUAAAAUAUUCAACCUUUGUAAGAAUUAUCCUAAUAUAAAUAUACCUCAUUAAGUACUGGACAUUUGCGUCUAUUGUGUCCAGGUAAUUUGCAAUACCCACAUUUUUUCAAAUUGACGCCUUUAUUAAAUCUUGCACUAGGAGCACCUUUCGUCUUCACACUUAAUGGAUCUUUUAUAAUAGCAACAUUUCUCUUCUCACUGGACCAUCUACCUCUUUUCUCUUCAAAAUUCCCACUCAACUCUAACAUUUCAGACUUAAGUUGUGUGAUAAGACCCUUUAAUUUCAAGUAUCCAGCAUCUGUCAUCGAGGCAUAGAAAAAUGUGUCUAGUUACAGAAGAAAUUUACAGAAUCAAAUUUUGACUUCGCUUCUUAAAGAUAUUCACGAUUUAGUGCACAAAGGUCACAACCGUCUAGAAACCACACAAGAUCCGAUGUUUCUGAAUUAACUGAUAUCAAUUAACAAGGAAUAAAAUUAAAAACUAUAUAUCUAUAGAAAGAUUUAUUUUUCAGGAGUUCAAAUAAUUUUACGGUUUUCUAUUUGAAGUUUUCUACAUGAAGAUAUGGCUUAAAGAAUGCUGACUGCUCAAAAUCACUGAAGCAACCAAGUCUAUGAUUAUCAGAAAACUUGCAUGAUUAAACUGUACUGAUCUAGAAUAUAUGAGAUUGCAUACUAUAUAUUUUUUGAUAGAUAAAUAUGUCUAGUUACAGAAGAAAUUUACAGAAUCAAUUUUCGACUUCGCUUCUUAAAGAUAUUCACGAUUUAGUGCACAAAGGUCACAACCGUCUAGAAACCACACAAGAUCCGAUGUUUCUGAAUUAACUGAUAUCAAUUAACAAGGAAUAAAAUUACAAACUAUAUAUCUAUAGAAAGAUUUAUUUUUCAGGAGUUCAAAUAAUUUUACGGUUUUCUAUUUGAAGUUGUCUACAUGAUGGCUGAUGUGUUUCAGCAGAUAUUACAAGAGGAAAUAUAUCUUCUCCCAGUGAUGGUUUUGAGAGAUCGUCCAACUCAUAGAAGCCUAAGUCGAUGCCUGUUCCCGAAGGCUGACGAAACUUCUGACCCAAUCCUUUCUUAAAGGGAAUUUUUGCCGGCAUAUAAGCUUCAGGAAACAGUGGAACAAACUUACAGUUGGGCUCUUCCUUGGCAAAGUAGAAAACAGUGAUGCUGCAGAUAAGAAAAGAAAAUAAAGAGAUAUGGCUUAAAGAAUGCUGACUGCUCAGAAUCACCAAAGCAACCAAGCCUCUGAUUAUCAGCCAAAUUCCAUGAUUUAACUGUAUUGAUCUAGAAUAUAUGACAUUACAUAAUAUAUAUGUUUGGAUAGAUGAAUGUAUCUAGUUGUGGAAGAAAUUUACAGAAUCAAGAUAGACUAAUAAUAACUUAAUAUUAACAAAAUUUUUAUUGUACAUGUUAUUUUAUCAAUUAUAUUUAUUGUAACACUUUAUUUGUAUCAUAUGAUUUUUAUUUGUUAUUUUUAUCCUAUUACUAUAUUUAUAUUUAUUUAGAUUGAUUUAGUCAAAAGGUAUAAUAGUCAUUUAGGAAAUUAAGAGGGUCUAUGUGACUAUUUAUGAAACUAAAGGAACAUGUAUAAUUAUUUUAGCAAAUCUUAGGGGUGUGGGUGGUUUUUUCCGAAAUUAAUAUUGAUUUAAAAUUAAAAAAUUAAUAUUUACCUGUAACCUGUAAGUUACCUGCUCUAUUUUAAUUAAUUAUCUAAUUAUCUAUUAUAUUAAAUGAAUGAUUCAGAUUAAAACUCUUAUAUCUAAGGGUCCACAUUAGUUCCACUAUCAAUACUGUAAAAAUAAAUACAGCAUCAUAAAGAAAUCCAACUUUGAAUUGAUAAAGUUGUAUUCAACAGCUCUUGAAAAGACUAAGCUGGUCUUCUUUGCAUUUGAUCACUGGUAUUUCAGUUAAGUUUGUCGUUUACUUAAAUUUUUCUUGCUUUCAAUUUCCACUGUUGUUUUUUUUUUAAUAAAAUAAUUUGUUUAACUAGUCAUAGAAAUAAGAGAGAAAAUGGGCCAUUUCUUGACUCAAAGUCAAUUAUAAUUAUCAAAACUUGAGCGGACAUUGCAUGCCUAAAUUCCACGCACCCUAAAACGGUUUGAUUUGCUUUCACGCGUUCAUGAUUUUGCAUGAAAGAGAGUGCCUCUCGUCUCUUUCCGGACAGUGACUACAGUCAUGGAAAAAUUAUGUUAACGUGACGAAUACAAAACGUUAUUACAUACAAGAAUAAGUUUUUGGACCCGAGACUUGAGGGAGGUUCUAUCUAAUUCUAAAGAUUGUAACCAAAGCAUUAUCCCCAAUUUUUUUAAGUUAAAUAAAAUAAAAUUUAUGCUUAAGUAUAAAUAAUUUUUUAAAGUUAAAUAUAAAAUAAAAUUCAUGAACUUCCAAGAAAGAAAGAAGACCCUUCACCUUCUUCGUGACAACAAAUGAUGUUGAUAUGACAAAUACAAGCGCUAGUACAGGGAACAGCAUAAGACCGAGACUUGAUAAAUAUUAAAUAUAUAAAAUAAGUGGAGCAAACGAACAGAAUAAUAGAUUUUUAUAAUAUUCUUCAUAAAAAUCCAAGUUUUGAGCUGGCCCAUAAGCUUAUCUAGUGAAGUCUGGGUAUCCGCGUUGCCCAAGGUUCCGUUUGAAUUCAGGCUGUGCUGAUAUUUAUGACAUCCGACGGAGAGGAAAUAUUUUCAGUUGACUAAAUUAAAUAAAAGUAUAUUAUAAUCAUAUUAUAUAUUAGCAACAAAAAUAAAAAGAAAUGAAGAAAAACGCAUGCAAGACUUAGAGAAGUCAAUUAAAAGAUGGGAGUAUCAUCAGUUCAAUUGGUUAUAAAUAGCGUAGAGCCAUCCUCUCGUUGUUGCAGAAGAGAGACAGAAAGAGUGUGUGUAGGUGAUUAUAAUUAAGAAGAUAUAAUGUGUGGUUCAAAAAGAGUGUGGGUGAGUGAGUUAAUACUCAUAUUAUUAGUAGUAAAAGGGUGGUGGAGUGAGGGAUGUUUGGAGCAAGAGAGGUCUGCUCUCCUCCAACUCAGACAUUUCUUCAAUGAUGAUCAACGUCUUCAAAACUGGGUAGACGAUGAGAAUAAUUUAGAUUGUUGUCAGUGGGAAGGGAUUGAGUGCAACAACACCACUGGCAGUGUGAUUAAAUUAGAUCUAGCACAAACUCGAAAAUGGGAAUCAGCGAAGUGGUAUAUGAAUGCCUCUCUGUUUACUCCCUUUCAACAAUUAGAGUCUCUUGAUCUAAUUGGGAACAAUAUAGCUGAUUGUGUUAAAAACGAAGGUCAUUAAUUUACUCUAUUUUAAUUCUUCCUCCUCGUAAUUUCUUACAUCUAUCUGAUCCCUUUUGGCUUUUGUUUAAUUUGUACGUGAUACAAUAAAAUUAUUUUUUUUCAGGUUUGGAGAGGUUAUCAAGGUUGAACAACUUGAAGUUUCUUUUUUUAGAUGAUAACUACUUCAACAACAGCAUCUUUUCAUCUCUAGGUGGUCUUUCAUCACUCAGACACUUAUCAUUGGCUGUUAAUAGAUUGAAUGGAAGUGAUGAUAUUAAAGGUAAGUAAGCUUCAUCCCUUCUCCCGUGUCCCAUCUUUGUGGAUCUUAUUUCAUCGACCAGCUGGAAGUAUUGAUACGAGAUCUAGCUAGACUCUUGCUAGUUUAAGCUUCAAGGCUUUGAAUAUUAUAAAAAUAGGUUUAAGGAAUUAUCAAUAUAUGCAAUUUUCUAUGCUUCUCAUAAUCAGACACAAUUCAAUCUAAUUAUUUCGUAUGUCCUCUCUUCAAAAGUAAAGAAUUGUACACUAAACGGAAAUCGACAUUGUAGCUUUUUAUUUUUUCUAAUGCUCUUUCUUUGUUAACGAGUUUAUAUCCUGAGAGUGCAUUGGAUUCAAAAAAAAAAAAGUUUUGAUGUUCAAGGUAAGCCAUAAUAACAUGCAUCUUAUUUAUCUGUCUAUAUCUAAAUUUGUGCACUGAAUUUAGUAUUUUAGUUAGUGUGAAGGGAUCAGAUAUUGGCUUCCAUAAACCAACUUGUAUUUACUUAAUUAAUUAAUUAACACCAUUUAGUAUUUAACAAAUUAAAAUUUCGUGUUUAAUUUGUCUUAUUUUUUAUUUUUUGAAGCAAGAAUAAGGUAUAGCAGUAGGUAAAGUUGAAAUACAUAUUUAUUCCUUACAAAUUUAAAUUCGUUUUCAGCCAAAUAUACCUACUUAAAACCACUCAAUCAUGCCAUUGGCAACAGUUUUUUAGGUUUUUCUAGUUAACCGUGUACUUUUUUGCUUAUUAAUAAAAUUCUUUUGUGCUGAGAUUUAAAAUAAAGAAGGAGAAAAUAAGUUAUUUAAUUAACCUUGUUUUAAGUGUUGGCAUAAAUGCAGGACUGAAUUCCUUGAGUAACUUGGAGGAGCUGGACAUGACAGGCAAUGCAAUCGAAAAUCUUGUGGUUCCUAAAGGUAUACAAAAUGUUCAAAUAUUAAUAAUUUGGAGGACAGUUUAAUUGAUUUGAUUAGGGAAUGCCCAAAUGACACUUACCCAAAAUAAUUUAAUCCAAAAUUGUAUCCCAAACAGAUUUCAUAGGUUUGAGGAAGUUGAAUACCCUUAAUUUAGGGGGAAGCGAAAUUCGAAUGAUAGAUGGAAGCAAGGUGUUGCAAUCAAUAGGAUCACUACCGUCCCUCAAAACACUUUGCCUUUCAUAUACUAAUUUUACGGGAACAGUAGUUAAUCAAGGUAAGUAAAUCUUUUAUGUCGAAAAUAAUUGAAUUAAUAUAUAUAGCUAAAAUUUAUUGUUUCUACUUCUUUCUACAUAGAAUUGCACAAUUUCACCAACUUGGAAGAAUUGAUAUUGGGCAAAUCUGAUCUCCAUGUAAGCCAGCUUCUGCCAAGCAUCGCAUCAUUCACUUCGUUAAAGUAUUUGUCAAUGGGAGGUUGUAUACUCACAGGUGCCGUACAUGGUCAAGGUAAAUUAUGGGUAUCUGAAGCUUUUAAAUUUUUUCUUUUAAAUUUUUUAUAUUUUCACUGUCCAAUGGUUCUACCUUCUCUAAAUUGUAGGAUUCUUGAUUAAGGUUAAUGAAAUUUUUGUUCUGUUAUGUUAAGAAUAUUUCGAUCGCUUAGAAGAGUAAAGAAAAAUAAGUAAAUUAACCCAAAAAAAAAAGAAAAGAACAGGACCGGAUUAUCCUUAUUCCCUUGCAUUAUGUGAUCAAUAUCAAAAUUAUAACCAUUUCUUGUUUAUUGCUUGUAGAUUUUCGUAAAUUCAAGAAUUUGGAAAAUCUGGACAUGAAUCUGGUGUAUGUUGACGUCAACACCAGUUUUCUUCAAAUUGUCGGUGAAUCGAUGCCUUCUCUCAAGUUUUUAUCACUGACAGAUUCAAUUCUUAAUAAAAACACCAUUCUUGAUCAAGGUUAAUUAAUGAUUCUCCUUCUCCCUCUCUCGCAUCAUAACUAAAUUUAAUUGAGAAUAUCUAUAAUGCGAGCUAUUUAUAAACUUAAUGAAAGAUGAUAAGGAGCCAUAAUAAUGACAAAAAUAACUGUAAAAUAGUGCACUGUUGUAGUGUUGAUUGAAAAAUAAUGCUAAUUUUUUACUUAACAUUAUAACGCUGUAUAAUUUUACAGUUAUUUUGUUGCCAUUACGUCAGAUUAUACUGUUCAACUAUCAGUGAUCAAACUUAAUUUUUAAUGUGUACUUGAAAGAUAUGUAAUUAUUUAUCUAUGUGUACUGAAGGAUGAAUUAUAUAUUUUUCAGGACUUUGUCAGUUAGUGCAUCUGCAAGAGUUACACAUCGGCGGUAAUGAUUUGAGAGGUAGCUUGCCAUGGUGCUUGGCAAACAUGACAUCCCUUCAAGUGUUAGAUGCCUCUUCUAAUCAACUUACUGGAAACAUCUCCCCAGGCCUUUGUGAGUUGGUGUUUCUAAGAGAGUUAUCCAUUCAUAACAAUGAUUUAAGAGGUAGCUUGCCUUUGUGCAUGGCAAAUUUGACUUCCCUUCGAGUAUUAGAUGUCUCUUACAAUCAACUUACUGAAAACAUCUCAUCUUCCCUCAUGCAUCUAAUAUCUAUGGAAGAGCUCAUAAUUUCAAAUAAUCACUUCUUCCAAAUCCCUAUUUCACUUGAACCACUUUUCAAUCUCUCAAAACUCAAGACUUUCGAUGGUGAAAUAUGCGCAAAAACUGAGUCACAUUAUAAUUCUUUGACCCCAAAAUUCCAACUGACUUCUAUCUCACUAUCUGGUUACAUAGAUGGUGGCACAUUUCCCAAAUUCUUGUACCAUCAGCAUGACUUGAAGAAUGCUGAUCUCUCACACCUUAACUUGAGUGGAAAAUUUCCAAAUUGGUUGCUAGAAAACAAUACGAACUUAGAGACGCUUCUUCUUGCCAACAACUCUCUUUUUGGAUCAUUUCGGAUGCCAAUUCAUUCCCACCAGAAAUUGGCAAUAUUGAAUGUCUCCAACAAUUUCUUUCAAGGCCAUAUUCCGGUGGAAAUCGGAACAUAUCUGCCAGGUUUAACGGAUUUAAACUUAUCUAGAAAUGCUUUCAACAGUAGCAUUCCCUCUUCAUUUGCUGAUAUGAAAAUGUUGAAAAGGUUGGACAUAUCCUACAAUCAGUUGACUGGUGAAAUCCCUGAGCGCAUGGCCACGGGUUGCUUCUCAUUGGAAAUUCUUGCAUUGUCAAACAACAGUUUGCAAGGUCAUAUAUUCUCUAAAAAAUUUAACUUGACAAAUUUGAUGAGGUUGCAGUUGGAUGGUAAUAAAUUCAUUGGAGAGAUCCCAGAAAGCUUAUCUAAGUGCUAUUUGUUGGCAGGAUUGUAUCUGAGUGAUAAUCAUCUCUCUGGUGAGAUUCCAAGAUGGUUGGGUAAUUUGUCAAUUUUAGAAGAUAUUAUAAUGCCCAAUAACAAUCUGGAAGGACCAAUUCCAAUCGAGUUCUGUCAGCUUUAUUUUCUGACGAUUUUAGACCUUUCAAACAAUGCUAUUUUUGGAACCUUACCAUCUUGUUUUAGUCCAGCAUCUAUUGAACAAGUUCAUUUGUCAAAAAACAGGAUAGAAGGACGGUUGGAAAGUAUAAUCCAUGACAGCCCCAAUUUGGUGACAUUAGAUCUCAGUUAUAAUCGCUUACACGGAAGUAUUCCAAAUCGGAUUGAAAGACUACCUAAGUUAAACUACAUUCUUUUGGCUAAUAAUUAUAUUGAAGGCGAAAUACCAGUUCAAUUAUGCCAUUUGAAGGAAGUGCAGUUGAUUGAUCUUUCUCAUAAUAAUCUAUCUGGUCAUAUUCCUCCUUGCUUGGUUAACACUUCACUUAGUGAAGGUCAUCAUGAGGCAGUAGCUCCAACUUCUAGUUUGUUGGGUCAACUGCCUGCCUCACCUCCAUCUGAAUCUGAGGCUGCAAGUGGACCUCCGAUGGGAAAGGAAGAAACUGUACAGUUCACAACAAAGAAUAUGUCCUACUAUUAUCAAGGAAGAAUUUUGACGAGUAUGUCUGGGAUUGAUCUUUCUUGUAACAAACUGACAGGUGAGAUUCCUACUCAAAUUGGAUAUCUUACUAGGAUUCAUGCACUAAAUCUAUCUCAUAACAAUUUGACGGGCACAAUCCCGACAACAUUUUCAAACCUGAAGCAAAUCGAAAGCUUGGACCUCUCCUACAACCUACUGCAUGGGAAAAUCCCUUCUCAGCUCACUGUGCUAACUACAUUGGCGGUCUUCAGAGUAGCAUACAAUAACUUAUCAGGCAAAAUCCCAGAUAGAGUUGCACAAUUUUCAACAUUUGAGGAAGAUAGCUAUGAGGGGAAUCCUUUUCUUUGUGGAUGGCCACUGUCUAAAAGUUGCAAUGAUAGUGGAUUAUCAGCAGUGACACCAGAAGCUUACACUGAAAAUGAAGAAGGUGAUAGUUUAAUUGACAUGGACAGUUUCUUGAUCACUUUUACAGUAUCUUAUGGAAUUGUGAUAUUAGGAAUUAUCGGAGUUUUGUACGUAAACCCCUAUUGGCGGCGAAGAUGGUUUUACCUUGUUGAAGUGUGUAUGACCUCUUGCUACUAUUUUGUGGCAGACAAUCUUGUUCCUAGAAGAUUCUAUGGUGGAUGGAUGUAAUUUCAUUUACUUUACAACUUAUAUGUAAUUUUUAAAGAAUUUUCUUUUGCAUGCAUGGAAUAGCAACUCAAUAAAAGUAUUUGAUGCAAAUUGUCCAAGAACAACUUAGUAAUUUCAUUGCUACUAUUCGGUUGUAUAUAUACAGUUAAUGAAAUUUUUAAUCAUUCGCAGUAGGAAUUUCUUUAGAUGGCGGCCAAAACUAACAGAUUUGGGGCUCUACUUCUACACAUCAUAACAGGCAAAAGGUCUCUCUUUUACACGAUCUGAAUCAUUCAAUAGGUGUCUACUUCUACACAUCAUAACAGGCAAAAGGUCUCUACUUCUACGCCCCCUGGAGUUCUCCAUUAAACUUGACGGUUGAGAUUUCAGGUCCAGAUGAAAGUUAAAUGCAGGCGACGAGACUACACUUUAAGUAAACUGGGACAAACUUAAAAUAAAAAAAACUAUAGUCCAGGGUGAGAGUGAUGGGUAGCUCAACUUAUGGAGGAUAACUAGGACUUGGAAUAACUAUCAGAUUUGCAACUCUUGUAAUAUAUAGUGGGCAUUCAGGUAGCAAUUAUCGCCUUGGGAGUUACCGUAAUCGAUUCAUUUCCUCCUUCAUUUCUGAUGGUAACCCAGCUCUAUACAAGAACAAUAAGAGAAGGUUCCUUUAAGAAAUUUCACAACCCACAAUUUUUUUUUUUCCUUUUUGCCCUGUUCCUCACAAUAAACACACCUAACACACCAAGCCGUGCCCAAAAUAAUCCUAUUUUAUUCAUGUCAUGAAUCCAAAAACUAUCCCAGCUCACUUUGUUUAACCAGCAUAACUAAAUUGUGGGUAUAAAUGAACAGACUUUCGAAGCCUGUAACUUAUAAUAAGCUCAAACCCAAAAAUGACAUUUAAAUCCUGCAAGUGUUUUUCAUCAUCCCUAACAAAAAGAAACAAGAAUAAUUAUAUACCAAUAAUUUUUCCAUAAAAAAUACUGAUUUGAGUUGAAGCACUAUACAAACUGGGUUUUAUUACACUUGCAGAAAGCUACACGGUAGACAAAAUCUAGCAGCUACAUAUUGGUAUCACUUUCAGCUGGUCAUGAAUGGUGUGCAUUCAGCAGUGCACAAUAGACCAUGUCUAUGAAUUGAUUGUCCUAUUACAUAUAAAAGCUGGUCAGAUAUACAAGGAAAAAAAUAAUAAUUGAAAAUGCAUCACAAAAAAUAAGUGUUUCGCAUUAGUGUUUGCACUCUUAAGCAUGGCAAAGUGGUGCAGGGUUCAUGAUUUUGAAGACAAUGAUAAGUGAAAAAUAGUUCAAUCCAUUGAUGAACAUAAAUUUAUUUACAUGUCAAUUUAGAUACCAUCAAAAAGUAAACAGUAAUUCACAGUCACUUAAAAUAGUUGAUAAAAUGCGUGCCAUGAAUGCAUUUUUGUACAUAAGAAAUCCAAAGAGUAUUUCUGACAAUACAAAUAUGCUAGCUUUAAGUCUGCUGUCAAUAUGCAAUUAAGAAGAUUAUACCAGCUGCAUGAUAAAGUUCCCCUAAUCUUAAUAACAAUAAACAUGAACAUGUCAGAUGCAAUUCUAGCUUCGACCAUUUGCAUAACCAGAAAUCCUAACCUGAACAAGCACCAGAAGUGCCUCUCGGACUUUCUCCUUGCUGAUAAAUGGUCCACUGUUCCAAGUAAGAGCAGGAGUAAGAGAUGGUGGAGGGAUUGGUGGUGGAAACGGUUGAAGCACUGGGGCACCAUAUGGGCGUUGUAGACUCAAGGGAGUAUUAAGUGGCAGAGCUGUUGGUGUAGAUGAAGAGACAGGCUGCAUCAUCCCCGCAGAGGAGGAUGGAGGAGGAACAAAGAAUAAGGAAGGCUUUACAAGGUUAGGGGUAGGUGCUGACAGAGGUGGAGAUGGUAUUGCAAGGUUGGCACGAUAGGAGAAGCAACACUGGCGGGAUGAGAAGGUAAAGAAAUAGUUGUAUUGGACUGGUAAGGUUGUGCAGAGAUUGCUGCAUUAGAAGUAUUCCCCACAGUCAAAGCUGUCUGCAAUGAUAAGGACAGAUGUCAUAUACAAGGACAUCAUAGAAGUUGAACCUCACACAAAAAUGAAGUGAUAACAUGUGAAAAUAGUAUAUGACUUGCUGCAUUUUUGUGGUAAUGUUGCAUACUUAUGUAGAAACAUAUUAUUUCAAAGAAAACAUACACUGAAGAAGUUCACAAAAGCAGGAUCUUCAGGAACAUCAACAGCAUUUGAGGGAGUUGACUCUAGAGGACCAUCCAUAACUGCCAUAGUUGGAACAGCUUCCAGUUCCUCAAACUCACUGCAGUUUAACAUAAAAGGAACUUGAUGACCAAUUUAAGUAAUAAUUAGAUGAUAUACGAGGUUAGGGAAAAUGAUGAGUGGACCCUUAUGGAAGGUGAUUUCACCUUAGCUAAACAGGAAAAUAAAAAGAAAUCAAAGCUGAAUCCUCGAGUGCAAUGCAAAGAAUUUUUUCUCUCUUCUCUAACUCCUCUUAUUCAAAAUUGCUCAUCAUUGUGCUGUUCUUCGAGAUUUCGCUAGAGUAGAGAAAGCUAUUCUCCCGUUAAGUGCAGAGGAAAGAGAAGGGCAAAGGCCUGGUAUGAUGCUAUUCUAUAAGAAGUGAGAAAGUGAAGGGCUAAAAUAUUUUGCAAUUUGGAGGUGGUGUUUUUCAGUGUGUGUGCUUCUGAAUUUAUUACCUCUUUAGGAUCCAUAGAAAUUGCCUCUUGUUCAGCAUGCACUGUGCCUACGAGUAAGGCGAGCUUGCAUGGUAUCUAUUGUCUAUUUAUUUGGAUAUUCAAACAGGACUACCAGCAACCAAACACAAAUCCCCAAACAAAACACUCUUUCAAGUGCAAGGAAAGAGUAACUUGGGCAUAUUUAUGGUUCAAGCACUACCAUAACUAAGAAUGUGAUGCUGUCCACAAACACUAUAUCAGUGCCUUUUGAACUACAUCACAUGCUCGAAGACUUUUUUUUUAGUCAUACAUAAAUUAGCUAUAAAAUUAAGACUAUUAUACAACUAAAAAGAAAGAAAAAUUGUUUGCUACUACAUAUCAAAACUGGUAAUAGCAAUGUAAGAUGGCAGACUUCUUACUUAAACAGAUGAGAGGCUGCAAAUAAAAAAUUUGUGCAAAUAAAAUAUAUGAUAAAGAGCAUAAUACUUUCUUGGGGGCUAAAAAUAAUAUACAACUUGUGAAAUAUAAAUUGAGCUACCAUUACCUUUUAGAUGUAGCAACUUUCGACUUUUGAGGCACCUUGGAAUAUGCAUUCAGAAUCCUGCAUUUGGAAGCCAAAUAAAUAAUGUCAACAACAAUUUUACAAUAGAAAAAUUAAAAAUUGAUAAAUGGCAGUUGUAAUUUAUGUAUGUGUAAAGAUAGCAUCACAUCCAGGGUCCUCCCAUAAACAUGCUUGUAACAAGAAUUAGUUUGCCUCAACUGCUAGCAACUAUACAAUAGUAAAAAUCACUCUUAUGAACUCAACAAUACUAGGCACCAAUAAGAGUAUGAUACCGCCAUUCUAAAUGGAAGAGAAUACAACUGUUUUACAACUAUGUCACAUCAGGAGAUAUGCUAGGAGGAUUAAUCCAGAUACCAUCCAACCCAAUUUGGAAAACUCGAGUCAGAAACCAGGAGCUGUAACCAAACCUUACAAUCUUGAAGGAAGAAGGAGACUUGGGGCAUUUUUCCAGAUAGGUGACUUACAAGAUCUCCUGCCAAGAAAAUAUCUAUUGCUUUGAACCUCCAUUGAAAUUUCUUUUCCCUUUUUCUUGUUUUGACUUGGAACUUUCCAGCAUCAUCUAUUUGAUCUUUUUUAAAGCUAAAAUAGCAAUCUAUGGGUUGUCAACAUCUUAUCCCCCCCCCCCCCCCCCUCGGGGGGGCCCCCAAAAAAAAAAAACCAAUGAGUUGUCAAUAAAUAGCACCUACUCAACUUAUGUUCUCCAAUGGAUGACAAUGUGCAAAUCGACCUAGCAGCCACAUUUUUCCCCCCUUUCAACCACCAUUAGGCAACUUUUCUAACCUUUCUUCAUUGCCCACGUCUACAGAACUAUCAUAUAAAGACUACAUUAUUAUUGGGAUAGAGAAUAAAAUACAGACUAUAUUAUUAUUAUAUCUAAUUUUAUGAAUUAACUAGUGCAAGACUUAUUUAGUGUCAAAUCAAGAACUAAUUAGAAAAGACAACUCAUGAUAAUACAGAC